rnacentral:tRNA from 1 species
GCCUGCUUAACUCAGUUGGUAGAGUAUCGUUUUUGUAAAUCGAAUGUCAUCGGUUCGAGUCCGAUAGCAGGCU